rnacentral:rRNA from 1 species
CACUGACUAUUAGACUACCCCGUAGUCCCAGCCGUAAACAAUGUGCGUUAGGUGUGUCGGUAACCACGCGUUACUGAUGCGCCGAAGAGAAAUCGUGAAACGCACCACCUGGGAAGUACGGUCGCAAGGCUGAAACUUAAAGGAAUUGCGGGGGAGCACCACAACAGGUGGAGCCUGCGGUUUAAUUGGAUUCAACGCCGGACAUCUCACCGGAUAAGACAGCUGAAUGAUUGUCAAUCUGAAGGUUUUACACGACUAGCUG